UAGGGAAUCUUCGGCAAUGGGGGGAACCCUGACCGAGCAACGCCGCGUGAGUGAAGAAGGUUUUCGGAUCGUAAAGCUCUGUUGUUAAGGAAGAACGUGUGUGAGAGUGGAAAGUUCACACAGUGACGGUACUUAACCAGAAAGGGACGGCUAACUACGUGCCAGCAGCCGCGGUAAUACGUAGGUCCCGAGCGUUGUCCGGAUUUAUUGGGCGUAAAGCGAGCGCAGGCGGUUAGAUAAGUCUGAAGUGAAAGGCAGUGGCUCAACCAUUGUAGGCUUUGGAAACUGUUUAACUUGAGUGCAGAAGGGGAGAGUGGAAUUCCAUGUGUAGCGGUGAAAUGCGUAGAUAUAUGGAGGAACACCGGUGGCGAAAGCGGCUCUCUGGUCUGUAACUGACGCUGAGGCUCGAAAGCGUGGGGAGCGAACAGGAUUAGAUACCCUGGUAGUCCACGCCGUAAACGAUGAGUGCUAGGUGUUAGGUCCUUUCCGGGACUUAGUGCCGCAGCUAACGCAUUAAGCACUCCGCCUGGGGAGUACGACCGCAAGGUUG
rnacentral:rRNA from 1 species